rnacentral:rRNA from 1 species
GAUGAACGCUGACAGAAUGCUUAACACAUGCAAGUCUACUUGAUUCUACUUCGGUAGUUGAUGGUGGCGGACGGGUGAGUAACGCGUAAAGAGUCUGCCCUUUAGUUUGGGAUAACCUUUGGAAACGAAGGCUAAUACCGGAUAUUAUGGAGACGUCGCAUGGCGACUCCAUGAAAGCUAUAUGCGCUAGAGGAGGACUUUGCGUCCCAUUAGUUAGUUGGUGAGGUAAUGGCUCACCAAGACCGCGAUGGGUAGCCGGCCUGAGAGGGUGAUGGGCCACAAGGGAACUGAGACACGGUCCUUACGCCUACGGGAGGCAGCAGUGGGGAAUAUUGGACAAUGGGCCACAAGCCUGAUCCAGCAAUUCUGUGUGCACGAUGAAGGUCUUCGGAUUGUAAAGUGCUUUCAGUAGGGAAGAAAAAAAUGACGGUACCUACAGAAGAAGCGACGGCUAAAUAUGUGCCAGCAGCCGCGGUAAUAC